rnacentral:rRNA from 1 species
UACGUAGGGUCCGAGCGUUGUCCGGAAUUAUUGGGCGUAAAGGGCUCGUAGGCGGUCCGUUACGUCGGGAGUGAAAACUCGGAGCUCAACUCCGAGCCUGCUUCCGAUACGGGCAGACUAGAGGUAGGCAGGGGAGAGCGGAACUCCUGGUGUAGCGGUGGAAUGCGCAGAUAUCAGGAGGAACACCGAUGGCGAAGGCAGCUCGCUGGGACGGUACUGACGCUGAGACGCGAAAGCGUGGGGAGCGAACAGG